AAAGUAAAGUGGGUGGGUGAAAGAAUGAAAAAAAGAAAAAAGAAAACACAAAAAAAAAGAGGAAAGGAAAGGGGGAAAAAAUAGAAGCGUAAAAAAGAAUAAAAGCAAACAUAUAAAUAAAAAAAAAUAACAAAAGCAAGAGAGCAUAGUGGAACACGGAAAAAUAAUAAAAAAGAAAAAAAAAAGAAGGAAAAAAGAAGAAGCAGAAAUAAAAAGAAGGGGCGCGAGCGGAAGUGAUUAAUCCGGAUCGAUGCGAUCAAGAAUGUCAUAAAGGUCGGGGCAUGCAUGGAGGUUGCUUUUUUUCGAGGUCAAGCGGAUAUCCAAAACGAGCGUCACGACGACGAUUUAAUUCGGUGGUCGCGCGUGGCGCGUAAAGUGGACCGACCAACGGACGUACGGAUGGAUGGAUGGACGUACGAACGGAUGGAACGAACGGACGGACGAACGAUGGAACGAACGAGAACGCGCGUUACGGGAUGCUCCUCUCCUAUGUCGAAGGUAUUUUUUUUUCUCUCUCUCUCCGUUUAUAUCUAUGUCUCUCAUUCUCUCAGUCAGUCCUCCGUGGGUCUCUCGCGUGACUCUACUCUUCUUCUUCUUUUUUUUUUUUUCCGCGUAGCAGUUAUCCUCCCUUACCCUGCGCACCACCCUCCCGACAAAACAAUUGAUUAGGAGGAUGGCUUGCUAAGGGGUGGAAGGGUAGGACGGUUACUCGCUUGCGUGGAAGGGGGAUGUGCAAGAGGAUGAGGUAAAAGAAGAGGUAGAGGAGUUGGAGGAUGAGGAUGAGGAUGAGGAUGAGUAGGGGGAAGAAGGGAGAUUGGCGCAAUACAACGCGCGGAGCCUGGAUGAGAGAGAUGAAGUGGCAGAUUAACGUCAACCGACGUGGGCCAUUCAUAACGGGGCUCUUUCGCCGGUGUGCGCCCGCCGCGCACGUAUGUACGAACUCUCCGCUACGACGAUUUAUAGAAUUGGAAAAACGAUAUCGGAAAAAUAGUAAACUUUAUUGAUGAAUCCCUUCUACCGGAGGCUCUCUAAGCGAUAUCGCGUGGAACUGCUACUGCUACUGCUACUGCUGCUGCUGGUGGUACUGGUACUGGUACUGGUGGUGGUACUGGUUGGUGGUGCUGGUACCGUGGAGGUGGAGGUGGAGGUGGCGGCCCAGAGAGAGUCCGACCACAUUCCCGCGGUGCUACAGGUGGCAUUUCGCGUACGAAUAAGACGGAGGUUCUUUCGUAAGAGUUGGAUUUGGAUGAAAGGAAAGCGUUAGAAAGGUCAAUAACUGUUCGGGCUUCCCUGCAGAGGCAAGGGAGAACGUGCACCAAGCCCAGAAGGACGUCCUGUGACGCAUUCAAUUGAAAAUCUCAAGGCACCCUCAUACACCGUUGGAAGAUAAUAUAUAGGAUAUCUGAACAUACUGGGCAACACGCAUAAGGACAUUCUAAGAUAUCUGAACAUUUCCACAGCACCCACGUAUACAGAAGGAAUUCUCUGAGCAGGCAUUCGACAAAGUCCGGCAUUGGACCGACCAAAUGGCAACGGCGACGUCCGUUCAUGAGUCAUUUGCAUUAUAUACGGUAAACACGAGUUCGGACGAAAAUCUACGAAGAAAUACUUUAGAACGUAAAUUUCAAGGUGAACAACGACGACAACUAUACCUCUAUCACCUAGAAGAAAUUAUUCUGAUCUUUGUAUUAUUCAAUUAUAAAAAAAAUUAAAGAGAGAGAGAGAGAGAGAGACAGAGAGAGAGAGAUAAGAAUCAGGAAAAAAAAUGGAAAAAUUAAAUGACGCGAUGAUAAUUGAUAGCAAAUGAUGGAGUUAUAGAAAAGACAGCAAAAAAAAAAAAAGAAAAAAAAAGAAAUUGCGAACAAUAACGCAUACUUGAGUCUGAGGAAUUCUUUUAAUCAUCUCUUGUCGUGUUUAACAUUAAUCUUACCGAUUUCGUCAUACAUUCGUGCUUAUUUACGUAUGCAUAUAAUUGUAUAUGUGUGUGUGUGUGUGUAGGGUUGGCCAAUAAGUCCGUGCGGUUGUUUUUCUGAUGCGAGUAAAUGAACGACAAAAAAAGAGCACGAACUUAUCAAUCGAUUACUAAAAUAUUGGAUUGUUCUACAAAAAAAUUUCGUAAUAUUUCUUAUCAACUUUU